GACGAACGCUGGCGGCGUGCUUAACACAUGCAAGUCGAACGGAAAGGCCCAGCUUGCUGGGUGCUCGAGUGGCGAACGGGUGAGUAACACGUGGGUGAUCUGCCCCUAACUUCGGGAUAAGCUUGGGAAACUGGGUCUAAUACCGGAUAGGACAAUCGUUUAGUGUCGGUUGUGGAAAGUUUUUUCGGUUAGGGAUGAGCCCGCGGCCUAUCAGCUUGUUGGUGGGGUAAUGGCCUACCAAGGCGUCGACGGGUAGCCGGCCUGAGAGGGUGGACGGCCACAUUGGGACUGAGAUACGGCCCAGACUCCUACGGGAGGCGGCAGUGGGGAAUAUUGCACAAUGGGCGCAAGCCUGAUGCAGCGACGCCGCGUGGGGGAUGACGGCCUUCGGGUUGUAAACCUCUUUCGACAGGGACGAAGCUUUGGUGACGGUACCUGUAUAAGAAGCACCGGCUAACUACGUG
rnacentral:rRNA from 1 species